UUCUGUGCUUUUAAAAAAAAUAUUGAGCCCUCACUAUGUGUAGUAUGAGGAUAUGGCUAUGAUUAAGGUAGAAGUGAUCCCUGUCUUUAUAAAGGUUACCACAUAAUAAAGAUUGCCAAGAAGUGAUUACAACGAGUUGUAAGUAGUUUGAUAUGUAGAGUGUUCAGUGAGAGUAUGCAGGAUGGGACCUAAUUUAUACCUCAGGAUGCCUAAGCCAAGACGUAGGUGUGGGAAAUGAUAGGGGAGGAGAGGGGGAAGAAGAAGAAUGCGUGUUCCAGGUGAGGAAUUUGCUUGUGCAAAAGCCAAAAGUCAAGAAAGCAUUAUGCUUUCUAGAAUCUCUAAGAAGUGAUGCAAGAUUGAAUUGUUUGGCAGUAAGCCUUUGUCUAUAAUGAGCAGCCACAUUUUAAGGAGUUUGGCGUCAUCCCAAGUAUAAUGGAGAGCCAUUAAAGAAGUUCAAAGCUUCCACAGGAGGCCUACACGCUGCUGCUUGUGCUGCCGCCAUGUCUCUAGUGAUCCCUGAAAAGUUCCAGCAUAUUUUGCAAGUACUCAACACCAACAUCGAUGUGCGGUAGAAAAUAGCUUUUGCCAUCACUGCCAUUAAGGGUGUGGGCUGAAGAUACGCUCAUGUGGUGUUGAAGAAAGCAGACAUUAACCUCACCAAGAGGGCGGGACAACUCACUGAGGAUGAGGUGGAACAUGUGAUCACCAUUGUGCAGAAUCCACGCCAGUACAAGAUCCCAGACUUGUUCUUGAACAGACAAAAGGAUGUAAAGGAUGGAAAAUAUAGCCAGGUCCUUGCCAGUGGUCUGGACAACAAGCUCCGUGAAGACCUGGAACGACUGAAGAAGAUUCUGGCCCAUAGAGGGCUUCGCCACUUCUGGGACCUUCGUGUCCGAGGCCAGCACACCAAGACCACUGGAUGCCAUGGCUGUAUCCAAGAAGAAAUAAGUCUUUAGGCCUUGUCUGUUAAUAAAUAGUUUAUAUACCCAAAAAAAAA